UCCGGUGGCAAUGUCGCGGAGGCCACACCCGAUCCCAUCUCGAACUCGGAAGUUAAGCUCCGCAGAGCCGAUGGUACUGCAAGGUUUUCCUUGUGGGAGAGUAGGACGCUGCCGGGU
rnacentral:rRNA from 1 species